rnacentral:rRNA from 1 species
UGUGUGUUAGUGGAAGCGUCUGGAAAGGCGCGCGAUACAGGGUGACAGCCCCGUACACAAAAAUGCACAUGCUGUGAGCUCGAUGAGUAGGGCGGGACACGUGGUAUCCUGUCUGAAUAUGGGGGGACCAUCCUCCAAGGCUAAAUACUCCUGACUGACCGAUAGUGAACCAGUACCGUGAGGGAAAGGCGAAAAGAACCCCGGCGAGGGGAGUGAAAAAGAACCUGAAACCGUGUACGUACAAGCAGUGGGAGCACAGAGCAAUCUGUGUGACUGCGUACCUUUUGUAUAAUGGGUCAGCGACUUAUAUUCUGUAGCAAGGUUAACCGAAUAGGGGAGCCGAAGGGAAACCGAGUCUUAACUGGGCGUUAAGUUGCAGGGUAUAGACCCGAAACCCGGUGAUCUAGCCAUGGGCAGGUUGAAGGUUGGGUAACACUAACUGGAGGACCGAACCG